rnacentral:rRNA from 1 species
UGAGUAACCUGCCCCAGACUCUGGAAUAACCCCGGGAAACCGGAGCUAAUACCGGAUACGAGACGAAGCUGCAUGGCUAUCGUCUGGAAAGUUUUUCGGUCUGGGAUGGACUCGCGGCCUAUCAGCUUGUUGGUGAGGUAAUGGCUCACCAAGGCGACGACGGGUAGCCGGCCUGAGAGGGCGACCGGCCACACUGGGACUGAGACACGGCCCAGACUCCUACGGGAGGCAG